rnacentral:rRNA from 1 species
CCUGCCCGUAAGUCUGGGAUACCAUUUGGAAACAGGUGCUAAUACCGGAUAAUAAAGCAGAUCGCAUGAUCAGCUUUGAAAAGGCGGCGUAAGCUGUCGCUAAGGGAUGGCCCCGCGGUGCAUUAGCUAGUUGGUAAGGUAACGGCUUACCAAGGCGACGAUGCAUAGCCGAGUUGAGAGACUGAUCGGCCACAUUGGGACUGAGACACGGCCCAAACUCCUACGGGAGGCAGCAGUAGGGAAUCUUCCACAAUGGACGCAAGUCUGAUGGAGCAACGCCGCGUGAGUGAAGAAGGUUUUCGGAUCGUAAAGCUCUGUUGUUGGUGAAGAAGGAUAGAGGUAGUAACUGGCCUUUAUUUGACGGUAAUCAACCAGAAAGUCACGGCUAACUACGUGCCAGCAGCCGCGGUAAUACGUAGGUGGCAAGCGUUGUCCGGAUUUAUUGGGCGUAAAGCGAGCGCAGGCGGAAAAAUAAGUCUAAUGUGAAAGCCCUCGGCUUAACCGAGGAACUGCAUCGGAAACUGUUUUUCUUGAGUGCAGAAGAGGAGAGUGGAACUCCAUGUGUAGCGGUGGAAUGCGUAGAUAUAUGGAAGAACACCAGUGGCGAAGGCGGCUCUCUGGUCUGCAACUGACGCUGAGGCUCGAAAGCAUGGGUAGCGAACAGGAUUAGAUACCCUGGUAGUCCAUGCCGUAAACGAUGAGUGCUA